rnacentral:misc_RNA from 1 species
GUGAAUCAUCAAAUUUUUGAACGCAAAUUGCACUCUCUUCGGAGAGUAUGACUGUUUGAGGGUGAGCCUAAAAAAAAUUGACGUAGUCGCUGUUUCGUGGUGAUAUUGGUCGGAAAUUGGGUCAUCUUAAACUUUUGGGUUUUUUAAGGGGCUUAAAAUUUUCUUGAUUAUUUCAGGAACGAUUUUAAGAUUUUUAUUUUUAUUUACGUUUAAGGUUUCGAUGUUUAUUAGACUUGGUUGUUGCAUCGGAUCGCGUUUA